AAAAGAUUACAAGGUGAUUACCGACUCCACGGACUCGACCUCUCUUAACCUCUUACGAACCUCCGCGUAAUCCUCCGGGUUGUCCACACCCUCACGUUCGAAUCCACGAACGCCACGUUCCGAGUCCACGAAAUGCCACCACUUUGAAUCCACGAAGCUCCACUACUUCGAAUCCACGAAGCUAUCGAUCCGAAUCCUCGAACUCUUGACCACGUCGAAUCCACGACGCCUCAGGUCGAAUCCACGACGCCGUUCAUGAGAAGCAUCAUGAGUAUGGUGAUCCUUCGCUUAGAGUAUCGUAGAAAACCAAGGAAGAGAACUCCAAGUGAAGCGUAGAUCAAAUCGACAUAUAGAUCGAAAAUUCCAAUACCUCGAUUUGACCUAAAAGAGGCUUUAUGAAGAAAAUAGGUUUUUGAUGAAAUCCAAGCCUCUAGAGUUUCUCAAACAUGUAUUUUCGUGAUGCUUGAUAAUACCUACAUCUUAGAGAACCCCUAAUAGCUUAUUUAUAGACUUUAAAAUCAAUCGGAGUAGGAUUUAGAAAGUUUUCACGAUUUUACACUGUGUACCGGUACACUUUAAGCUGUUACUGGUUACACGAUGACGGAACGAAAAAACCUAACGAAACAUGAAACCGGUUACAUGUUGAUGGUUGUACCGGCACAUAUUUUGUACCGGUACACUUUGCAAAUUUCCACCGUUUCGGAUUUUGCAAAGUUCCGAUGCACUUUCUAAUCGAGUAAACUUUGAUAUUAUGAUUCUAAUGACUACAACUAAGUAUAAAUUACCAUAACAUGAAAUAAAACUUUACCUGAGCAUCGUGAUUCACGUCGUGAGUUAUUUUCCGAUUUCUUUGAAGUCUUUGAUUCUUCGAUCUUCGUCGAUUCGCUUUGAUCCUUCAAGACUCUGACUCACUUCACGAAACUUGCCAAUACAAAAUCCUUAACAAUCUUCCCCUUUGGCAAUUUCAUGACAAAACUCACAACAACUCAAAAAUUACAAAAAUUACAUCUUAAAAAAAACGAAGUUCAAAUGUUAUCACCAAAAUAUUGAACUUCUCACGUAUAGUCCAAAUAUGAAUUACAUUUACAUCAAAACUCCUAAAACAAACUCUAUGACUUAGACACAACUAGGAGUCUUGAAGUCUUGAUUUCCUGCAAAACAAAAAAUACCAAGAUAAUGUAGAACAUUAGAUUUUUAUACCUUCUCCCCCUUUGUUUGUGAAGUUCAUCCUCUUCAUUUUCUGCUUUGAUCCUGUUCUUCUUAUGAUCUCCCCCUUUUUGUCAAAAAUUGCCAAAAAAAAAACAAAUAGAGAAAAACCACACUAAGAAGCAAAAGAGUAGUCAAGUCAUAGUUACAGACCUAAAGCAAAAGUAAAAACAUGCAAACGAAAGAUAAGCAAGCAAAACUAAACUAACACAUCGUCCUAAAAAGUAACCACAGUGAAAUAAAAAGCCUAAGUCCGAGGAAGAAAUCACUUCGUGUCCUCGUCAUCAUCAUCAUCAUCAGCCCUAGCUCCAGAUCCCCCAGCCUCAGGAGCAUCACUUGAUGGUGGAAUGAGUGGAUGUCGCGAAGUCGAUCUUGUAUACGUGGUGUAGGUAGGCUGAGUAGGAAAUAUGUCAUCAUGCCUACACCCGAGUUUUUCCAUAAUCCUCUUCAUUCCCACUUCCACCUUCUUUGCAAGAUCUGUCACCUUCUUCUUCAAAGAGCACACCUCAUGAUGAAGUGAUUCUACAGUAAUCACUCCCCCUGAGCUCGAAGACCCCUCGUGCUCUGCAUGACGUGGAGGUGCUGAACUGGAAGCAGCUCUCGACGAUCCCUUUGUUUGCUGGAAAGUCUUCAGUGUGCUGACUGAUUUGGCCCAAGUCACAGCAUCGAUCGGUCCAAGGCCAGUAUCGUACUUCUCACAAGAUACAUCUACUCCAUUCUCUUGCAAAAUCUGAGUGAUCAACAAUGGAAAAGGAAGUAGAUCGCGUCGCACUUGAGACUGUAUAACAUGAACCAUCCUCUGCCACAUAAGGAAAGGAAUAUUGAUGUUCAAUCCAUCCGCUUGCUCCGGGUGACCAAGAAGAUAUAGAAGAACUAGUCGAUCCUAUCGAAUUCUCUUGGUUCCAAUAGUUGGUUGAACAUUAUAGCACAUUACCAAGGAUAAAAGAUGAUACUCAGGAUGCAAAUCCUUGGAUUCCACGUAAGAAUGAUUCGUCCUCACACCUUCCUUAUAGAUUGCUCGAGUAACAGUCUCCCAGUGGGUUGAAGACUGAUAAAGCCCUAUCGUAUAGUGAAGGCCUGUAGUAUCAACAUGCAUCCUUAAGUGCUCUCCAAUUGUGUAAGGAGUGACUUGAAUCUUCCGCUGGCGCACAUAUGUCUCAAACACAUAAGCUCCAGUCUCCUCAUCCUCUACAAGCACCAUCCCGUUCAUGUAGAACUCCCGAAUGAGUUCCACACAGAAUGGAGCACGAGCUGGAACCCGUCCAACGGGCUCAAUAGGGACCCUCUGCAGCAAACGACCAAAAUUUGGAACCUCCUUGAUCAGUUCAGUAAAAUUGACAUAUCACUCAGCUAGAACUGAUCGGCCCAAAUAUAUCCUCCGUCGCUCUAAUGAAACAUCUGCAGCACUUUUGGAGCGACCCUCACGCGCACGAGAACCACCUCCGCGCGAGGAUUCAUUAGCUAUUCUUUUCCUUUAUCAACUCGAGCAGUCAAUUCUUCAGUAGCUUCAGGCGAACUUGCCUGGUAAUCCGGAUCAGAACCCGGUGACUCGCCUGCAGUACGAGUCCUCUUGGAGGCCCCUCGACGACCUCUACCACCGCCACGACCACGACCGUCAGCCAUUAGCACCAAAAUCAGCAAUACAAGCGAAAACGCCAUUUUUCCUACAUUAAAAUAAGCCAUACAUGAACAAAAUCUUGAAAAAAUCUGUAAAAAUAGCGAAAAAAUAUCUAAUAUUCUUAGAAUGCAUACUAACGCUAUUUCAAACUCAUUCAUGCAAAAAAAAUUUCAACAAAAAUUGAUAUUCCAACAAAAAUCCCGAAAUUCCAUAUAUAAUGAGGUACAGAUCGCAGAUCAGUGAAAAAUAUAGCGUUAUAACCUGAUCUAAGUGUUCUAGAAGCAAGAUUAUAUGUCCAAAUACUGAUUCACAGCAAAAAAAUUGUAUCAAAAACGAAUCAAAAUAGAGAUCUAGCUUCAACUCGGAAUAUUUUCAAAAAAUAGGCAAGAACGCGAUGAAAUGGUUAAAUCUAAGCUAAAUACUUACAGAUCUUGGAGAAAAACGUGCAAAUCUGGAGGAGAAGGGUGCUGAGGAUUUUUAGAAAGAGAAAGGGAGCGAUUUGAUUUAGAAUAGAGAGAGAAACGAACCCUGUAUCCGGUUAUAAAACGUGGUCUACAGUGAUUUGUACCGAUACACGAGAUUUUGUACCGGUACACUUCACCAGAUUUCGAAAAUCUAAAUUUAAAAACCCUUUAAAAUUAAACGAAUUUCAUAUAAAUUAAGCACUUUACUCCAAAAAUCAUUAUAAUGAAGAUAAAAUAUUAUAAAAUUUCAAAAUACAUCGAAACAAUAAAAUUUUGUUAUCAAAAGUAACCUCUUGUUUCAAAAUCAUCAAGAUGUAACGGUGUACGAAAAAUGAUUUUUAGAAAUUUGGCAAAAUUGACACCAAUUUGUCACAAUUCGUUCAAAAUAGAAAUUUAACUAAUAUGAUACUGGGGGUGGCUCUUUGAGCAUAUUUUCAACUUACCACCUUAUCACUCCGAAAAUUCUAAAAUAUUUAAUUUUUUUUUUUCAACCUUUUAGGUUAUUCAAUCUUCAUGUGGUAACUUCACACACUUGCCGGACGACAGGGGUGGUAGCUCUUUCCUACAUGUGGUGGUAGUUUUCACACUCCUUUUGGAUGUAACUUUUUCCACAUCUUUUAAGCAUAGGAGUUUCUCCUUUUUUUUUUAAUUUUUUUUAACAAUUCAAACUCCCCCUAAAUUAGACAACCUCACAAUUGAAAAUAAUUUGACAAAUUUUAGUCUAUUAACGAAUAUCCAUCGAUCAUAUCCAACACACACAACCGAGAUAGAUUAAUAACCAAGAGAUCAAAUUUGAUUUCAAAAUUUUGAUGAAUAUAUGUAUUAAGAAAUCAUAUAUUAAAUUAUUGUCAAAAUAAUAAAGAGUGGAGUAAGAUCGAUAAUUAAUAUGAAUUUAAUUCAAGAUGAGUUCCGAUUAAAACACUUUGAAAAAUUCUAAUCUCCCUAAAAUAAAGAUUUUCAAUCGUCUCUUUCCUCCAAGAAAAAUUUUAAAUUCCCAAAUACUUUGCCUCAAAACGUUUUAUAAACAAAUAAAAUUCAAAGCACCAAAAAUCGUCCAAAAUAUGUAAUGCAAUGAAUAAGAAUAUGCAACAAGCACCUAUCAAAGCACUACACAAAAAAAAAACACCAACUAAGAUGAGGAGCAAGGAAAGAUAUCACCUUUCCGGAUCCAAACUUGUCGAAUCGUUGGUUUUCUCGACUUGUUGACGUUAGGUGCCGUUUGUUUAGAUUUUUGAUCAACCGUUGGUGGUUUCUUUGCUUGAGGCUUCGGUUGAACUUGUCGUUUAGGCUUAGAAUUCCGGUUUGCUUUAGGAUUCGGUUGGAUUUGGCAUUGCGCAUUAGAAUACCGGUUUGCUUGGGGAUUUGGUCGAACUUGAUGUUGUGUAUUAGAAAUCCGAUUCCCUUGAGGUGCUCGACUCAAAUGAUUUGGCUUUUGAUUUCGUGGGGGAUGUCGAGUUGUAGAUGAUGUCGAUUGAAGUUUAGAGAGUGUCGAUCGAUGUGUAGACAUGGCCAAUUGAUUCAUCUUUUCUUUGUUUGGGCAAUUCUUUUUGAUGUGUCCUUUGAUGCCACAUCGAUGACACACUUUGCCAUUUAAAGUUGUUGAGACUUUCGAAGUUGAUUUAGAAUCCUUCUCAACAUAUGUCCGUUCAUAUCCGAGGCCCAAUUUGCUCGUUUGACCCAAUCCGAGCAUAUGAUCCAAUUUCUUAGAUCCCGAUGAAAACUUUUGAAUAUCGGUUUGGAGUUGACGAACUUGGUCGGCCAAGGCUUUGUUCGAUUUGCGUGAUUCCUCAAAUUGAUGCUCCAAAAAUCCAACUUUGCCUUUAGAGGAUUUGAUCGUUGAUUCCGCUUCAUUAAGCUUCUCUUGGAGGUCCAAAUUAUUCUUCAAAAUUGAUUCUCUUUCCUCCUCAAGAGCUUUGUUCGUUGUCUUUAAAUUUUUAUUUUCUUCCUCAAUGUCUGAUAGACGACGCCUCAACUUCUUAUUAUGCUUGGCCAUCCUUUUUGAUUCAAUAAGAAGUUGAUUGUACGCUUCCGCUAUGUCAUCGUCGUUUGAUUCCUCCUCGCUAUCGUCGAUAUCGCUCAAAGACACAUGCGAAGAAGUAGACAUAUUGGAAUUAGACAUAAUAGAGGAUAAACACACAACGUUAGACGAAGGCAAAGAAGAAUUAGCAAACAAAGCAAGAUUUUCAUUCUUUUCUUCGUCACUUGAAGAUGAUUCACUCGAAGACGAAUCAUCCCAUGUCCUUGCUUCCAAUGCCUUCUUAGUAUAUGAUUUCUUCGAAGGACAAUCCGUUGCGAUGUGGCCGUAGCCUUUGCACUUGUAGCAUCGGAUCUCGCCUUCAAAUACAUCCUUUUCUUUCGAAGCCUUUGCACACUUCUUCUCUUUAGAUGUAGAAGAUGAAGACUUAGAAAACGAUUGUUGCUUAGACGAUGUAGCCUUGUCAAAUUUGUGCUUGUUCCGAAAAUUUCGACGAAACUUCUUCGUUAAUAGUGCAAGUUGAUGUUCGAAAUCGGCAAGCAAUACAUCUUCAUCGGAAUCUGAAUCCUCAUCUUCCUCCUUUGUCGACUUCAAUGCAACCCCUAUGCUUUUAGAGAAAGACUUGGAAGAAGAUUGAUUAGUAGGAAAAGUCAUCUCAUAUGUUUGUAAAACACCUACUAACUCUUCGACUUUCAUCUCGUCCGGAUGCUUUACGGUUUCGAUUGCGGCAACUUUUGCCCGAAAGCAUUCCGGAAGAGUUCGAAGAAUCUUUCUAACUACUUUAGCAUCCGGGAUUUUCUCUCCCAAAUUAGCGCAUGUAUUUACAACGUCUUGUAGACACGUAUAGUACUCGGUAAAGGUCUCGCUUUCGUCCAUAAAAAUUGAAUCAAACUUGCUUAUUAGCAUUUGUAAUUUUUGGACCUUUACUAAGCUCGUUCCUUCAUGCGUAACUUGUAGAGUAUCCCAAAUCUCCUUGGCGGUUUCACACGCCGAAACAUGAGUAAACUCCGUUUGCGAUAAAGCAUUGAAUAAAGCAUUAAUUCCUUUACCGUUAAACGAAGAUGACUUGUUUUCAUCUUUCGUCCACUUGUUCCGUAGUUUAAGAACGGUAGCAUCAUCGACGACUUCGGUAGGAUGCUUCCAAACGAAUUCUAUAGCUUUCCACACCCGCUCAUCGAUUGCAAUUAGAAAGGCUCUCAUGCGAACUUUCCAAUAGGCAUAGUUUGUGCCAUCGAAGAGCGGUAGUCGAUUAAUGUUUUCGCCUUCGGCCAUUAGAUAGCAAUUUAUCUAGAUCCUGCUCUGAUACCAAUUGUAAGUUUUGGGGUGCCUAAGGAUCUAUCUAGAUUGUAUCUAAUACCUAGAGGGGGGUGAAUAGGUGUAACGGCCAAAAACCACAAAUCUAAAUGCGACAAAAAUAAAUGCGGAAAAUAAAAAGCACAUCGAGAUUUAUGUGGAAACUCCAACUUGGAGUAAAAAACCCACGAGACCAACACGUGAAAAAAUAAUUCACUAAGAAAAAAGAUUACAAGGUGAUUACCGACUCCACGGACUCGACCUCUCUUAACCUCUUACGAACCUCCGCGUAAUCCUCCGGGUUGUCCACGCCCUCACGUUCGAAUCCACGAACGCCACGUUCCGAGUCCACGAAACGCCACCACUUCGAAUCCACGAAGCUCCACCACUUCGAAUCCACGAAGCUAUCGAUCCGAAUCCUCGAACCCUUGAAAACGUCGAAUCCACGACGCCUCACGCCGAAUCCACGACGCCGUUCAUGAGAAGCAUCAUAAGUAU
rnacentral:lncRNA from 1 species